rnacentral:rRNA from 1 species
GACGAACGCUGGCGGCGUGCUUAACACAUGCAAGUCGAACGGAAAGGCCCUGCUUUUGUGGGGUGCUCGAGUGGCGAACGGGUGAGUAACACGUGAGUAACCUGCCCUUGACUUUGGGAUAACUUCAGGAAACUGGGGCUAAUACCGGAUAGGAGCUCCUGCUGCAUGGUGGGGGUUGGAAAGUUUCGGCGGUUGGGGGUGGACUCGCGGCUUAUCAGCUUGUUGGUGGGGUAGUGGCUUACCAAGGCUUUGACGGGUAGCCGGCCUGAGAGGGUGACCGGCCACAUGGGGACUGAGAUACGGCCCAGACUCCUACGGGAGGCAGCAGUGGAGAAUAUUGCACAAUGGGCGGAAGCCUGAUGCAGCAACGCCGCGUGCGGGAUGACGGCCUUCGGGUUGUAAACCGCUUUCGCCUGUGACGAAGCGUGAGUGACGGUAAUGGGUAAAGAAGCACCGGCUAACUACGUG